AGAGUUUGAUCAUGGCUCAGAUUGAACGCUGGCGGCAUGCCUUACACAUGCAAGUCGAACGCGAAAGUGGGGGCAACCCUGCGAGUAGAGUGGCGAACGGGUGAGUAACACAUCGGAACGUACCCAGGAGUGGGGGACAACCUCGAGAAAUCGAGGCUAAUACCGCAUACGUCCUGAGGGAGAAAGCGGGGGAUCCGUAAGGACCUCGCGCUCAUGGAGCGGCCGAUGUCGGAUUAGCUAGUUGGCGGGGUAAAAGCCCACCAAGGCUACGAUCCGUAGCUGGUUUGAGAGAACGACCAGCCACACUGGGACUGAGACACGGCCCAGACUCCUACGGGAGGCAGCAGUGGGGAAUUUUGGACAAUGGGGGCAACCCUGAUCCAGCCAUGCCGCGUGAGUGAAGAAGGCCUUCGGGUUGUAAAGCUCUUUCGGCCGGAACGAAAUCGCGUACGUGAAUAACGUGCGUGGAUGACGGUACUGGAAGAAGAAGCACCGGCUAACUACGUGCCAUC
rnacentral:rRNA from 1 species